UACUGAAAAUUAAUGAGCAAUAUACACUUAUGUAGUUGAAUUUGGUACAAGUUUUAUAGUCACAAUUAUGACUUAUGAGAACAUGAUGCAAGUGGGUACCUUCCAGGCUAGCUUAUCCACUAAUCACCAAAUAUGGCAUUUUUGUGCUUGGAUUUAGGACACAAAUGUCAAAGAACAAGGAUUUGGAACAAGGUAAGUUUGUCAAUCAUACCGACUUUUAUUGAGCAAAUUAAUGAGCAUGAUUAGAGAGAUUAGAUUGAUGGCUUCCAUUUAUGCAGCAUUCCCUUAAGUGUUCUAGCCAUUAUUUCAUCAUUGGGGAUCCUGUUUAAAAUAUCUACUUGCACAUGGGGUUGGGAAAAUCUCAUGUACCCAAGCAUCCACGUGUACAAUAGUAAAAUGUUGCAUUUGAUUUUUGGUUUCUGAAAUUCGAAGGAACCCCACAGAACGCCCCCGACAAGCACGAAGAAAAAACAGAGCAUAGAACGCAGCAAGCUGCCCCACCAACGACAACGAAGAUGAAACACGAAGGGAGGUAGCAGUGCUUCUCAUCUUCUUCUGCUCAAACAAGCUACCCCACCGAUGACCAAGAAGACAAAACACGAAGGGAGGGAUUACCAUAUUGCAAGUAUUUCAAGUGGGCAGAGGAGGAUCAAUACAGAAUGUCUGAUCUUCGAGAAACUCACAAUGAACUGUUAAGAACCAAGAAAGAGCUGGAGAAGAUACUCGACGAUAUCGAAAAGAGCAAGAUUGAUCUCUGUAAGAGAGCGGAUGAGAUCGAGAUGAGAGUGAUGGUGCUGUCCAAUAGAAAUGAGGAGGUUCUGAACAAGGAGUUAGUGCUUGUUGUACAUGAAGCUGAAAUAAGAAGUUUACACACACUACUCUGAGUGUAUUGGACUUUUGCAUUUGUCAUACCAUGUUACUUGGUAGUAUAUAAGUGAUUUCAGUGGGUGUUAGAAGUUAGUUUCUAUGUGUAUCUAAGUUGUUUGCUAUUGUUGGUGAUGUUACAACUUAGUCUGAAUGUGUGGUUUAAGAUACUCAGAAUAUUUUUUGUGUUAGUCGGAACUUCUUUUUUAUUUUCAGUUUGUAUCAAUGUGGAAUGGGUUCCCCAUAUAAAUGGAAGAGUUUUUUAUUUUAUUAAA